GCUAAGAACGAGGCAGGGGCGGCGGAGAGAGGUGGGGGGCGGGCUGUGAACGUAAUUGCUGGGCGUGGAGUGUGGGCGGGGUGCCUGGGAAGGAGAGUGGGAAAGCGGCGGGCUUAACAGGGGAAUUGCGCUGGAAACUAGGUGGCUGGAGUGUGGCAGAGGAAGGGGGAAUUCCACGGGUAGCGGUGAAAUGCGUAGAGAUGUGGAGGAACACCGAUGGCGAAGGCAGCCUUCUGGGCCAACACUGACGCUCAUGCACGAAAGCGUGGGGAGCAAACAGGAUUAGAUACCCGAGUAGUC
rnacentral:rRNA from 1 species